rnacentral:rRNA from 1 species
AUUGAACGCUGGCGGCAUGCUUUACACAUGCAAGUCGAACGGGGUUGGGAGCUUGCUUCCAAUCUAGUGGCGAACGGGUGAGUAAUACAUCGGAACGUACCGUGUAGUGGGGGAUAACGUAGCGAAAGUUACGCUAAUACCGCAUACGAUCCACGGAUGAAAGCAGGGGGACCUUCGGGGCCUUGUGCUAUACGAGCGGCCGAUGUCUGAUUAGCUAGUUGGUGAGGUAAAGGCUCACCAAGGCGACGAUCAGUAGCGGGUCUGAGAGGAUGAUCCGCCACACUGGAACUGAGACACGGUCCUGACUCCUACGGGAGGCAGCAGUGGGGAAUUUUGGACAAUGGGCGCAAGCCUGAUCCAGCCAUGCCGCGUGAGUGAAGAAGG